AGGAAUCUGCCUAUUAGUGGGGGACAACAUCUCGCAAGGGAUGCUAAUACCGCAUACGUCCUACGGGAGAAAGCAGGGGAUCUUCGGACCUUGCGCUAAUAGAUGAGCCUAAGUCGGAUUAGCUAGUUGGUGGGGUAAAGGCCUACCAAGGCGACGAUCUGUAGCGGGUCUGAGAGGAUGAUCCGCCACACUGGGACUGAGACACGGCCCAGACUCCUACGGGAGGCAGCAGUGGGGAAUAUUGGACAAUGGGCGCAAGCCUGAUCCAGCCAUGCCGCGUGUGUGAAGAAGGCCUUAUGGUUGUAAAGCACUUUAAGCGAGGAGGAGGCUACUUUAGAUAAUACCUAGAGAUAGUGGAUGUUACUCGCAGAAUAAGCACCGGCUAACUCUGUGCCAGCAGCCGCGGUAAUACAGAGGGUGCAAGCGUUAAUCGGAUUUACUGGGCGUAAAGCGCGCGUAGGCGGCUAAUUAAGUCAAAUGUGAAAUCCCCGAGCUUAACUUGGGAAUUGCAUUCGAUACUGGUUAGCUAGAGUGUGGGA
rnacentral:rRNA from 1 species